rnacentral:rRNA from 1 species
AUUGAACGCUGGCGGCGUGCCUAACACAUGCAAGUCGAGCGGUAACAGGUGUAGCAAUACAUGCUGACGAGCGGCGGACGGGUGAGUAACGCUUGGGAAUCUGCCUGUUAGUGGGGGACAACCCGGGGAAACUCGGGCUAAUACCGCAUACGCACUACGGUGGAAAGCCGGGGACCGCAAGGCCUGGCGCUAACAGAUGAGCCCAAGUCGGAUUAGCUAGUUGGUAGGGAACGGCCUACCAAGGCGACGAUCCGUAACUGGUCUGAGAGGACGACCAGUCACACCGGAACUGAGACACGGUCCGGACUCCUACGGGAGGCAGCAGUGGGGAAUAUUGGACAAUGGGCGAAAGCCUGACGCAGCGACGCCGCGUGAGGGAUGACGGCCU